UACAGGGGGUGCAAACGUUGCUCGGAAUCAUUGGGCGUAAAGCGCACGUAGGCGGUUCGUUAUGUCGGAUGUGAAAGCCCUUGGCUUAACCGAGGAAGUGCAUCCGAAACUGGCGAGCUAGAGUACUAAAGAGGAUCGCGGAAUUCCCGGUGUAGAGGUGAAAUUCGUAGAUAUCAAGCGGAACACCGGUGGCGAAGGCGGCCUUCUGGACAGUGACUGACGCUGAGACGCGAAAGCGUGGGGAGCAAACAGG
rnacentral:rRNA from 1 species